UGGGGGAAUAUUGGGGCAAUGGGCGCAAGCCUGACCCAGCAACGCCGCGUGAAGGAAGAAGGUCUUCGGAUUGUAAACUUCUGUUCUUAGUGACGAAACAAAUGGCGGUAGCUAAGGAGAAAGCCACGGCUAACUACGUGCCAGCAGCCGCGGUAAUACGUAGGUGGCGAGCGUUGUCCGGAAUUACUGGGUGUAAAGGGUGCGCAGGCGGGACUGCAAGUUGGAUGUGAAAUACCGAGGCUUAACCUCGGAGCUGCAUCCAAAACUGUGGUUCUUGAGUGAAGUAGAGGUAGGCGGAAUUCCGAGUGUAGCGGUGAAAUGCGUAGAUAUUCGGAGGAACACCAGUGGCGAAGGCGGCCUACUGGGCUUUAACUGACGCUGAGGCACGAAAGUAUGGGGAGCAAACAGGAUUAGAUACCCUGGUAGU
rnacentral:rRNA from 1 species